UUCAACUGUCAAAGUGAAAUCGAAAAUUCAAAAGUCAAACUCAAAAUUCAAAUUUUAUACGAGAGUGCGUAGAGGAAUUGUAAUUUUGUAAAAAAGUUUAGUAAUUAAAUAUUAAAAAUACUACAACAACUAUUAACUACGUCGAAGACGAACCGAGAGACCGUUUUAAACUAGAUCUAAAUUGCGUCUAAAUAUUGAUAUUUUAAUGACACACGCUCCUGUUCCGCAGUAAUAAAAAAUGCAAAAGGAAAAAAAAUGGUUCAAGCCUCUGUUUGAAUUUGGCGAUAGCCCAAUUCCAAAAAAAGUUAAAAAAGAUUCAUCCAAAAUUCAAAAACCCAAAAAUAGCAAUAAGGAUUCAGCUGCAUGUCAGUCCAAUGGCAAUAUACCACAUAUAAAUGACAGAAAUUGGAUGAAAAAUUUUGAUCCAGUCAUUGUGGAGGAUCUGGCUGUUCACAAUAAAAAGGUGCAAGAAGUGGAUGAAUGGAUGAAAACAGCUUGUAUGAGCAGCAAGAGUGACAUGCUGUUACUCUCUGGUCCAGUGGGCUGUGGCAAAACAGCCACUAUAAGAACUCUUGCUGCUAAGUAUAAUAUCAAAAUAACGGAAUGGAUAACACCACUUGAUAUUGAAUAUCCUACUGAAUUUGGUGAUUAUGAGUUCAAGGUAUCACAGUCAAAAAAGUUCCUAGAAUUUAUUAUUAAUUCAGCAAAUUUUGUAUCACUAUUGGAUAAUAACAGCUGUAAACUGGUUUUGGUGGAAGAUUUUCCAAAUGUAUUUAUCAGAACACCAUCAGAGUUUACUGAUGUUCUACAGCAGUAUAAAGUAAGAGCAAAAUCUCCAAUUGUAUUCAUUUGUUCUGAUACACAUACAGACAAUAAAAACACAGCAUUUCAUCUUUUCUCACCAAGUUUGAAAGAGCAGUUUAAUAUUCAUCAUAUAAUGUUUAACAGUGUAUCAGCGACAGGUUUAAAAGCAGCUCUGAAACGGGCGACCGAGAUUAUAACUAAGAAAUACACCUCCACAUAUAACAUCCCCACAGCAGAUAUCAUUGAAUCUGUAGUCAACACUUCAGGUGGAGAUGUGAGAUCUGCAAUAUUAAAUUUACAUUUUGCAUCAUUAAAAGGUUCUAGCGGUAAUUUAGAAACUAGUAUUAUAAUAGAAAAGGAAGUCAAAAGUAAAACAACUAGAAAGAAAAAGAAUUCAGCAAACAAAUUCAUGUCCCUAGGAAAAGAUCAAACAGUAAGCAUUUUGCAUGGCGUUGGUAGAGUUUUGAACCCUAAAGAAUUGAUAAACAAUGAAGGGCAGAAAGUUCUAACCCACUGCCCAAAGGAUAUAAUUGAGCAAUUUCUAAGUCAACCUUCAUCAUUUAUUGGUUUUCUAGAAGAAAACUAUUUACCUCAUUUCUCAUGUGCAUAUGAUGUAGACAAGGCAGCUUCUGCUCUCAGUGAGAGUGACUUCUUGCUUGCAGAAUGGAGAUGUGAUUUCAGGAAAAGCUAUGUCAAGAGUAUGGUUUGUACACAGCAGUAGCAGGUCUGAUGUUGUCUAAUAAAUCCCCUGUGUCAGCUUGGAAUCCUGUCAGGGGUCCAAAAAACAUGAGAGUUACUUAUCCAGAUCUCCGUGAAUUACCGCUUUUGGAGCCAAAUUAUUUAUACAAGGGUAAAGUUCUUGUAACUGAUUACAUUACCUAUUGUAAAAUCAUUGGCAAUCAAACAAAAGACGUCGACGAAAAUACUUAAAAAUAUUGUAUGCUGCUGGAUAAAAGUGCCUAAAAGUGUAAUGACGUCGUACUUAAAAUGACACGUCACCGUCACUACUUAUUUCCAUUGUAUGAGAUCUAUAUUUUUUUCCAUUUGGGCCAGCAUACUAGAAGAAAAUCUCAUACUAUCUAGCAAUAUCUAGAUUAUUUGUUGGAAGACUAGUAAAGCCAAAUCCAGUUAUACCUUCAUAGCUUGAUAGGUAUUCAACAUCGAUCUCCUAUUAAAGCACAAUCGGCGAUCAAAAAACGUCCCCACUCAAUAAAUGCCAAACACAACUUCUUGGCACUCAAUUCAAGUAGUCGCAUUUGCAAAUUCAACCUUAAACUCAAUGCUUAAGGUUGAAUAUUUAUUGAACAUUGGACUAUAUUUAAAGGCCUUUAGGUAUAAUUUUCUUUAUCAAUAAUUCUAAAACUGUUAAAGCAAAAUUGGUCAGUUUUCCA